GUUUUAAUGAAUAUUUUCCAAUGACAACCGUACACCUUUUCUUAGUCAGAGAAAAAAUAAAAAUCCGACCGUGUUCCUAUAAGAGCCUCAUUCUGAUUCUUCCUAAACCCUAGUACGAUAAUCUAAUGCUCUGCAGAAGAUCGUCUCUGCAAUUUCUAUCUCAGUUUCCUAUCUUUUCUCAGACAACACCGGCGGCGACCUCCACUAAAACCAAUGACCAUCCAUAUUGGAGAUGACAAUUGAGGAGACAAAAGUGAAACGAAAUCUAUAUGGGACUCAAGGAUGUACGAGAUUUUUGUUGAUCUUGCUGUAAAACAACACGUGAGGGCAAAUAGAGCACACAAGAACAAAGAGGUUUGGAAUAUGUGAUGAGAUGAAAUAUGGGAUAUUUGUUGAAGCACAAAUGCAGAAUGUACCUUCUCCUCAAACCACCACCAAAACCGGCUGUCACCACCCUCACCACACACCACCCAACCCAGUGAACUGAAACUGUCAUCUUGUUUAUUAUCCCACACGUGCAUGCAUAAGGUUUUGAUGUACCAGCUUUUUAGUUUUGUAUUGCAUUGUACUCUUUUUGGGCCACUAAUGUGGACAGUGUUUCAAAAUUUCUUUUUUACCCAUCUUUACUUGUCUGGCCUUGGGGAAUGCCUCAUGUUUUUUUUUUUUUCUUGUCCUAGUUGGGUACUCACGCACACAUGCCUCCACGGAAGCUCGAACCCCUGAUCUCUCUUUGAGAAGUAGGGACUUGGUACCGUUAGACCACUGGCCUGUUGAUAAUGCCUCAUGUUUUUAUUGUAAUUACUCUUUUGUUAUACUAUACCACUUAAAUACUGAAAAAAAAAAAUUUGUUUAUGUAAUUUCAUUAUGUUUAAUGGGUUGUUUGUAUGUAGUAAACGUCCAGUGUAAUUGUGGAAGAUGAAUUCCUAGCUGGACUGAUUGCUAAAUGUAAUCUUGAUAUUUACUAUUUUCUGAAAUAAAA